UAACAGGAAACAGCUUGCUGUUUCGCUGACGAGUGGCGGACGGGUGAGUAAUGUCUGGGAAACUGCCUGAUGGAGGGGGAUAACUACUGGAAACGGUAGCUAAUACCGCAUAACGUCGCAAGACCAAAGAGGGGGACCUUCGGGCCUCUUGCCAUCGGAUGUGCCCAGAUGGGAUUAGCUAGUAGGUGGGGUAACGGCUCACCUAGGCGACGAUCCCUAGCUGGUCUGAGAGGAUGACCAGCCACACUGGAACUGAGACACGGUCCAGACUCCUACGGGAGGCAGCAGUGGGGAAUAUUGCACAAUGGGCGCAAGCCUGAUGCAGCCAUGCCGCGUGUAUGAAGAAGGCCUUCGGGUUGUAAAGUACUUUCAGCGGGGAGGAAGGGAGUA
rnacentral:rRNA from 1 species